AGCGGCGCACGGGUGAGUAACACGUAACUAACCUACCCUCGAGUGGGGAAUAACUUCGGGAAACCGAGGCUAAUACCGCAUAAUACCCACGGGUCUAAGGAGAAAUCCGCUUGAGGAGGGGGUCGCGGCCGAUUAGUUAGUUGGCGGGGUAAUGGCCCACCAAGACGAUGAUCGGUAUCCGGCCUGAGAGGGCGCACGGACACACUGGAACUGAAACACGGUCCAGACUCCUACGGGAGGCAGCAGUGGGGAAUUUUGCGCAAUGGGGGAAACCCUGACGCAGCAACGCCGCGUGGAGGAUGAAGUCCUUCGGGACGUAAACUCCUUUCGAUCGGGACGAUUAUGACGGUACCGGAAGAAGAAGCCCCGGCUAACUUCGUGCCAGCAGCCGCGGUAAUACGAGGGGGGCGAGCGUUGUUCGGAAUUAUUGGGCGUAAAGGGUGCGUAGGCGGUUUGGUAAGUCUUAUGUGAAAUCUAUGGGCUCAACUCAUAGUCUGCGUGAGA
rnacentral:rRNA from 1 species